rnacentral:misc_RNA from 1 species
GAUGAAGAACGUAGCGAAAUGCGAUACGUAAUGUGAAUUGCAGAAUUCAGUGAAUCAUCGAGUCUUUGAACGCACAUUGCGCCCCCUGGUAUUCCGGGGGGCAUGCCUGUCCGAGCGUCAUUGCUGCCCUCAAGCACGGCUUGUGUGUUGGGCCUCCGCCCCCCGGCUCCCGGGGGGCGGGCCCGAAAGGCAGCGGCGGCACCGCGUCCGGUCCUCGAGCGUAUGGGGCUUCGUCACCCGCUCUUGUAGGCCCGGCCGGCGCUUGCCGACACAUCAAUCUUUUUUCCAGGUUGACCUCGGAUCAGGUAGGGAUACCCGCUGAACUUAAGCAUAUCAAUAAGCGGAGGA